rnacentral:tRNA from 1 species
GUCAGGGUGGCUGAACGGUCCAAGGCGCUGCGUUCAAGUCGCAGUCUCCAUUGGAGGCGUGGGUUCCAAUCCAACUUCUGACU